rnacentral:rRNA from 1 species
GGACUACCGGGGUAUCUAAUCCUGUUUGCUCCCCACGCUUUCGUGCCUCAACGUCAGAUAUGGCUUUGUGAGCUGCCUUCGCAAUCGGUGUUCUGUGUGAUCUCUAAGCAUUUCACCGCUACACCACACAUUCCGCCCACAGCAACCAUUCUCUAGUCUUGCAGUAUCAGAGGCAAUUCCGUUGUUGAGCAACGGGAUUUCACCUCUAACUUACAAAACCGCCUACGCACCCUUUAAACCCAAUAAAUCCGGAUAACGCUUGGAUCCUCCGUAUUACCGCGGCGGCUGGCAC